UGAAUACGAAAUGCUACGGCAUUGAAGUGAUCUAUGCCAUGCUUCCAAGAAAAUCUCGUCAUAUCUUAAAUAAUAAAUGCCUGUACCUUAAACCGACACAGGUAGGUAGGUAGAGUAUACCAAGGGGCGCGAGAUAACUCUCUCUAAGGAACUCGGCAAAAUAACCUCGUAACUUCGGAAGAAGAGGUACCCUUGAAAAAGGGUUGCAAUAACCAGACCCUGGCGACUGUUUACCAAAAACACAGGUCUCCGCUAAUUCGUAAGAUCAAGUAUGGAGGCUGACGCCUGCCCAGUGCCGGAAGGUUAAAGAAGUUGGUCAAUCUUCGGAUGAAGCUGGCGACUGAAGCCCCGGUGAACGGCGGCCGUAACGAUAACGGUCCUAAGUAGCGAAGUUCCUUGUCGGGUAAGUUCCGACCCGCACGAAAGGCGUAACGAUCAGGGUGCUGUCUCGGAGAGAGACUCGGCGAAAUAGACAUGUCUGUGAAGAUGCGGACUACCUGCACCUGGACAGAAAGACCCUAUGAAGCUUUACUGUAUCUUGGAAUUGGGUUUGGGCCUUGUUUGCGCAGGAUAGGUGGGAGGCUGUGAAAAUAUUCUCGUGGGAAUAUUGGAGCCAACGGUGAGAUACCACUCUAGCAAGGCUAAAAUUCUAACUCUGAACCGUUAUCCGGUCAGAGAACAGUUUCAGGUGGGCAGUUUGACUGGGGCGGUCGCCUCCUAAAGGGUAACGGAGGCGCGCAAAGGUUCCCUCAGGCUGGUUGGACAUCAGUCGUAGAGUGUAAAGGCAUAAGGGAGCUUGACUGCGAGACCCACAAGUCGAGCAGAGACGAAAGUCGGCCUUAGUGAUCCGACGGUUCCACGUGGAAGGGCCGUCGCUCAACGGAUAAAAGUUACUCUAAGGAUAACAGGCUGAUCUCCCCCAAGAGUUCACAUCGACGGGGAGGUUUGGCACCUCGAUGUCGGCUCAUCGCAUCCUGGGGCGGUAGUACGACCCAAGGGUUGGGCUGUUCGCCCAUGAAAGCGGUACGCGAGCUGGGUUCAGAACGUCGUGAGACAGUUCGGUCCAUAUCCGGUGCAGGCGUUAGAGCAUUGAAAGGAGUCCCCCUUAGUACGAGAGGACCGGGGGGAAUACACCGCUGGUGUACCAGUUAUCGUGCCAACGGUAAACGCUGGGUAGCCAUGUGUAGCGUGGAUAACUGCUGAAAGCAUCUAAGUAGGAAGCCCACCUUAAGAUGAGUGCUCUCACCGCUAUAAGCGGGUAAGGUCACGGUAAGAACAACCGUUAUAUAGGCAUUAAGUAUACAUGCAGUAAUGCAUUUAGCUGAGAUGUACUAACAGACCGAGGGC
rnacentral:rRNA from 1 species